ACGCAGGUAGGAGGGUUAUCCACCGGUGUGCAGCCUGUGUGAAACCGGGGUACAAACCCCCGUCUGCGUCC
rnacentral:tRNA from 1 species